rnacentral:rRNA from 1 species
CAGCAGCCGCGGUAACACGGAGGGUGCAAGCGUUAAUCGGAAUUACUGGGCGUAAAGCGCACGCAGGCGGUUUGUUAAGUCAGAUGUGAAAUCCCCGAGCUUAACUUGGGAACUGCAUUUGAAACUGGCAAGCUAGAGUCUUGUAGAGGGGGGUAGAAUUCCAGGUGUAGCGGUGAAAUGCGUAGAGAUCUGGAGGGAUACCGGUGGCGAAGGCGGCCCCCUGGACAAAGACUGACGCUCAGGUGCGAAAGCGUGGGGAGCAAACAGGAUUAGAUACCCGUGUAGUCCCUGUCUCUUAUAC